AUUUUAUGUAUGUAUGUAUGUAAUGUUUACAGUCGUGUAUGCUUGUCAAGAGCAGGGUUCAUUAGCCACCAACGGAGCCACACAUGCAAAAUAUUAGUCCUAGAGCGUACAAUGUUCCUGAAGUUCAGCAAUGGUCUUCCUCGGUCACGAGUGGACAGACAUUAUGCAUGUAUGUAUGUGUGUGCGUUUAUACAAACACACACGCACGAACGCACACGCACGCACACGCACGCACACACACACGCACACACACACACAUACACACACAGACAUAUGCCUCAAGUAUUUAGGAAAAACCGUUGUGGACCAUAAGUGAUCCAAACUUUAACUAAAUACUCUCUCCCUUUUGAACCCAAAUGUGGAAGCUUCGAAUGUAACGCAGGCCGCGAAAAAGCAUGCUGCUUUCGAUACCUUAUCCACCAGCCACCGUGAUUCUGGAGUUGCAGCCUUCAUAAAUUUUCCCAGGCCCUUUUCAGAUCUUAGAUCAGAAAAAGAGUUCCUGGGCCCGAGCGGGAAUGUAUACUCUAUGACCAAAAGCAAAAUUACACUCUCGAUAGUCAGAUGUUGUCAAAAAAUUCGAUUUUGCCUAACUAACCCAGGGCGCCAUCAGCAAGUGAAGAUGAUAGGCAAUGACUGUCAUUCACUUGCUGAGGUCAUUGUUGAAGAUGCCUGGACAAACUCGACAAACUCGACUCUUCUGACAAUAUCUGACUAUCGAGAGCGUACAACUGUCACGUGUAUUACGUUCCAAAUACCCCGCGAUAGGUGAAAAUCCGCGAAGUGGAAACAGUUCUGUACUGUAUAUUUUAUUAUUAUUUUUAUAAUCUGUAUAUAUCUAUUUUAUCAUAAUUGCAAAACAACACCACACACUCGCCUUCCGGGUUUCGUUUUUCAUACAGUAUGUACGAUUCUUUGUUUAUUUAUCUACGGUACACUACGUAUUUUCUUUUAAUAUAUUUUAAUUAAUGUGUUAUACAGUGCAGUACUGUACUGUAUUUUCAUUUAUUAACUUAUUAAUUUUUAGGUGAUAAAACGCUUAUUUUACCACAGAAAUAAUUAAAAUCUAAAAGACUAUAAAUAGCUAUCGCCCGCAGAGACCCGCUAUAUAAUGAGGAGUCCGCGAUAUAAAUUUACAUAUAUGAGCCAGAAAAUCCGCGAAAUACUGAUGGCACGAUAGGUGAACUGCAAUAUGGCGAGUGAUUAUUGUAUUUUUGCUUUUGGUGAUGGAACAUAAAUUCCCACUCGGGGCCAGGAGCUCAUUUCUGAUCGUAAACACGAAGGGUCUGGCAAAAUUUAUGAAGGCUGCAAUUUCAGAAUCACUGUGGUUGGCGGUUAAGGCAUCGACAACAUUGCACUAUUUCAAACUCAGCGUUAUAUUCGAAGUUUCCACGUUGGGGUUCAAAUGGAGGUUUGGACCCCUUAUUGUCCUUAAAUAGUUGAGGCAGAUAUAUAUAUCAAUAUCUUCCUUUUUUUUACUUUCUCUUACUUGUUUCAGUCAUUUUGACUGUGGCC